CUCACGAAUUCCGCUCAGAGUUCUCUGAUAUUUGUUUUUAGGCUUAAGGUUGGAAGUUAUUUUGUAGUUGAAUGAUUUCAGUCUAGUGACAUUUUAAGUCAGAAUGCUUUGCUAUACAUAACGUUGUUCUGGAUCCCAUGGGAUCUUAGAAUAUUUUGCAUGUAAAACUAUUCUGUGAUUUGCUAAAAUGAAAAUAAUGCAGGGUAACAAUGUGGAAGUCAUUUUGACCUCGUUAGGCCCUGCAGUUACAAUUUUGCUUGUUAUAUUUUAAGCAUCCAAUUUCAUCCUCUAACCUUCUCCAUCCAAUAUUUCUACUUUUUGCCUCAAUUUGCCGUAUUUACCUCACUUACAUUUUUGUUUUUACUUUUACAAUUUUCAGUUCAGUUCAGUUCAGUUAAGUCUCUCAGUCAUGUCCGAUUCUGCAACCCCAUAAAUCGCAGCAGGCCAGGACUCCCUGUCCAUCA
rnacentral:sRNA from 1 species